AGAGUUUGAUCCUGGCUCAGGGUGAACGCUGGCGGCGUGCCUAAGACAUGCAAGUCGAACGGGUUGGUAACAACACCGUGGCGGACGGGUGAGUAACGCGUGGGUGACGUGCCCUGGAGUUGGGGACAACCAAGCGAAAGUUUGGAUAAUCCCCGAUGGUGAUGCAGCUCCUGUGCUGUAUCUAAAGAUUUAUCGCUCCAGGAUCGGCCCGCGUCCUAUCAGGUAGUUGGUGGGGUAACGGCUCACCAAGCCAACGACAGGUAACUGGUCUGAGAGGACGACCAGUCACAGGAGCACUGAGACACGGGCUCCACUCCUACGGGAGGCAGCAGUUAGGGAUAUUCGUCAAUGGGGGAAACCCUGAACGAGCGACGCCGCUUGAAGGACGAAGCCUUUCGGGGUGUAAACUCCUGAACUCGGGACGAUAAUGACGGUACCGAGCUAAUAGCACCGGCUAACUCCGUGCCAGCAGCCGCGGUAAUACGGAGGGUGCGAGCGUUACCCGGAUUUACUGGGCGUAAAGGGCGUGUAGGCGGUUUGUUAAGUCCGAUGUGAAAGACCGGGGCUCAACCCCGGGAACGCGUUGGAUACUGACAGACUAGACGGCUGGAGGGGGUAGCGGAAUUUCCGGAGUAGCGGUGAAAUGCGCAGAUACCGGAAGGAACGCCAAUAGCGAAGGCAGCUACCUAGACAGCACGUGACGCUGAGGCGCGAAAGCAUGGGGAGCUAACCGGAUUAGAUACCCGGGUAGUCCAUGCCCUAAACGAUGAGUGCUGGGUGUCCGGCGUAUGCUGGGUGCCGAAGCUAACGCGUUAAGCACUCCGCCUGGGAAGUACGGUCGCAAGACUGAAACUCAAAGGAAUUCACGGGGCCCCGCACAAGCGGUGGAGCAUGUGGUUUAAUUCGAAAGAACGCGCAGAACCUUACCAGGCCUUGACAUCUGGGGAAUCCCGCUGAAAGGUGGGAGUGUCCGCAAGGAAGCCCCAAGACAGGUGCUGCAUGGCAGUCGUCAGCCCGUGUCUUGAGAUGUUGGAUUAAGUCCCGCAACGAGCGCAACCCCUGUAGUUAGUUGCCAGCAGUUCGACUGGGCACUCUAGCUAGACUGCCUGCGAAAGCAGGAGGAAGGCGGGGAUGACGUCUAGUCCGCAUGGCCCUUACGGCCUGGGCUACACACGUGCUACAAUGGUUGCUACAGAGCGCUGCAACACGGCGACGUGAAGCCAAUCGCUUAAAAGCAACCUCAGUUCGGAUUGGAGUCUGCAACUCGACUCCAUGAAGCCGGAAUCGCUAGUAAUCGCGAAUCAGCUACGUCGCGGUGAAUACGUUCCCGGGGCUUGUACACACCGCCCGUCAAGCCAUGGGAGUAGGUUUCACCUGAAGUCACUGGGAGCUUAAGGCAGGUGCCGAGGGUGGGGCUUAUGACUGGGGCUAAGUCGUAACAAGGUA
rnacentral:rRNA from 1 species